rnacentral:rRNA from 1 species
UACGGAGGGUGCAAGCGUUAUCCGGAUUCACUGGGCUUAAAGGGCGCGUAGGCGGCCACCGCAAGUCGGUUGUGAAAUCUCCGGGCUUAACCCGGAAAGGUCAAUCGAUACUGCGGGGCUAGAGUGCAGAAGGGGCAACUGGAAUUCUCGGUGUAGCGGUGAAAUGCGUAGAUAUCGAGAGGAACACCUGCGGCGAAGGCGGGUUGCUGGGCUGAUACUGACGCUGAGGCGCGAAAGCCAGGGGAGCGAACGGG